UACGUAGGUGGCGAGCGUUGUCCGGAUUUAUUGGGCGUAAAGCGCGCGCAGGUGGUGCGGUAAGUCUGUCGUGAAAUCUCCUGGCUCAACUGGGAGGGUGCGGUGGAGACUGCCGGACUGGAGGCACUCAGAGGCCGGUGGAAUUCCCGGUGUAGUGGUGAAAUGCGUAGAGAUCGGGAGGAACACCAGUGGCGAAGGCGGCCGGCUGGGGGUGACCUGACGCUGAGGCGCGAAAGGCGUGGGGAGCGAACCGG
rnacentral:rRNA from 1 species